rnacentral:rRNA from 1 species
AGAGUUUGAUCAUGGCUCAGGAUGAACGCUGGCGGCGUGCUUAACACAUGCAAGUCGAACGAGAAAUGAUAUUACGAUCUCUUCGGAGUGACGGUUUUAUUUCGAGUGGCGGACGGGUGAGUAACGCGUGAGCAACCUGCCCUAUACCGGGGGAUAACACUUGGAAACAGGUGCUAAUACCGCAUAACAGUUUAUGCCGCAUGGCAUAAGAGUGAAAGGCGCUUUCGGGUGUCGCUGAUGGAUGGACCCGCGGUGCAUUAGCUGGUUGGUGAGGUAACGGCUCACCAAGGCCACGAUGCAUAGCCGACCUGAGAGGGUGAUCGGCCACACUGGGACUGAGACACGGCCCAGACUCCUACGGGAGGCAGCAGUAGGGAAUCUUCGGCAAUGGACGAAAGUCUGACCGAGCAACGCCGCGUGAGUGAAGAAGGUUUUCGGAUCGUAAAACUCUGUUGUUAGAGAAGAACAAGGACGUUAGUAACUGAACGUCCCCUGACGGUAUCUAACCAGAAAGCCACGGCUAACUACGUGCCAGCAGCCGCGGU